rnacentral:rRNA from 1 species
CAAUAGCGUAUAUUAAAGUUGUUGCGGUUAAAAAGCUCGUAGUUGGAUUUCGAUCGGGAACUGGUGGUCCAUCUUUUGGAUGUGCAUCUACAUAGGUCUUGGUCUCCUCUCGAAAAACGUUUCUGCGCUUGAUUGCGUGGUGCGGUGUUCGGGACUUUUACUUUGAGGAAAUUAGAGUGUUCACGGCAGGCAUACGCCUUGAAUAUAUUAGCAUGGAAUAAUAAGAUAGGACCUUGGUUCUAUUUUGUUGGUUUCUAAGGCCGAGGUAAUGAUUAAUAGGGAUAGUUGGGGGCGUUUAUAUUCCGUUGUCAGAGGUGAAAUUCUUGGAUUUACGGAAGAUAAACUACUGCGAAAGCAUUCGCCAAGGAUGUUUUCAUUAAUCAAGAACGAAAGUUAGGGGAUCGAAGACGAUUAGAUACCAU